rnacentral:rRNA from 1 species
UACGGGGGGGGCAAGCGUUGUUCGGAAUUACUGGGCGUAAAGGGUUCGUAGGUGGCUUGCUAAGUCAGACGUGAAAUCCCUCAGCUUAACUGGGGAACUGCGUCUGAUACUGGCGAGCUUGAGUGCAGGAGAGGAACGCGGAAUUCCAGGUGUAGCGGUGAAAUGCGUUGAUAUCCUUAGGAACUCCGGUGGCGAAGGCGGCACGCUGGACCUCUUCUGACGCUGAGGCGCGAAAGCCAGGGGAGCAAACAGG